ensembl:snRNA U6 U6 spliceosomal RNA
UUGCUUCAGCAGCACAUAUACUGUAUUGGAACAUACAGAGUAGAUUAGCAUGGCUUCUGCACAAAGAUGACACUCAAAUUUGUGAAACAUUCAAUAUUUUU